rnacentral:rRNA from 1 species
ACAUAGCCUUUAGCAAAAUAAGUAUUAAAGGUGACGCCUGCCCAGUGACUCGUUCAACGGCCGCGGGAUCCUACACCGUGCAAAGGUAGCAUAAUCACUUGUCUCCUAAAUAGAGACUAGUAUGAAUGGCCAAAUGAAGAUUUACCUGUCUCUUGUAGCCCAUCUAUAAAACUGAUCUUUCAGUACAAAAGCUGAAAUAUAAACACAAGACGAAAAGACCCUGUGGAACUUAAAGCCACAGUCAAUAUAAAUGACUUUAACGCUUUUAGUUGGGGCAACUUUGGAAAAAAACCAAACUUCCAAUUAACCAUCAAGGCAGACAUGCCAACACCGCCACUAAUACAGACCCAGUAUUACUGAUUAAAGAAAAAAGCUACCCCAGGGAUAACAGCGCCAUCCCCUCAUAGAGCUCCCAUCGACGAGCGGGGUUUACGACCUCGAUGUUGGAUCAGGGCACCCAAGCAGUGCAGCAGCUGCUAAAGGUUUGUUUGUUCAACAAUUAAAGCCCUACGUGAUCG